UACAGAGGGUGCAAGCGUUAAUCGGAAUUACUGGGCGUAAAGCGUGCGCAGGCGGUAAUGUAAGACAGUUGUGAAAUCCCCGGGCUCAACCUGGGAACUGCAUCUGUGACUGCAUUGCUGGAGUACGGUAGAGGGGGAUGGAAUUCCGCGUGUAGCAGUGAAAUGCGUAGAUAUGCGGAGGAACACCGAUGGCGAAGGCAAUCCCCUGGACCUGUACUGACGCUCAUGCACGAAAGCGUGGGGAGCAAACAGG
rnacentral:rRNA from 1 species